AGGUAGCCGUACUGGAAAGUGUGGCUGGAUCACCUCCUUUCUAAGAGAAAGGUAUUAUUUAAAGGUAAAUUAUGAAAUGUAAAUUAUGUUUUAACUCUUCCUUUGUCUUUUCUAAGACUAUUUUUGGGGGUUUAGCUCAGUUGGCUAGAGCAUCGGCUUUGCAAGCCGGGGGUCGAGGGUUCGAGUCCCUCAACCUCCAUUUAUUUUAGGUCGAAUAAAUGGAGGUUGUAAUUAGAAGUAAGGCUAUAUUAGUUGUAUCUAAAUUUAAAAUUGUUAAAAACCAUUCUAAUUUUAUUAUCUAGACAAUGUGUUUUUUAUUAUGUCUUUAAUAAGUACGGUUGUUUACGUAUGACAAGUCAUGAUAAGUGAUCUUAAUUUGAUUUUGUUUUUUCAUUUUUUGUUUGCAUUCGUUAUAAUAAAUUUUGAUUUUAAAAAUAUGGGCUUAGGAUUUGUAAAUCACUAAGUUUAAGACAUUUCUUUAAAUAUUUGGAUG
rnacentral:misc_RNA from 1 species